GCAUUAAUGGGGUAGUGGUAACCUGGGUCGUUGCCAUGAGAAACAUACAUGAUCGUUUCGACCCGCCGGGGGUUCGAUUCCCCCUUAAUGCA